rnacentral:rRNA from 1 species
CCUAAGCUGAGGCCGACAGGCGUAGGCGAUGGAUAACAGGUUGAUAUUCCUGUACCACCUAUAAUCGUUUUAAUCGAUGGGGGGACGCAGUAGGAUAGGCGAAGCGUGCGAUUGGAUUGCACGUCUAAGCAGUAAGGCUGAGUAUUAGGCAAAUCCGGUACUCAUUAAGGCUGAGCUGUGAUGGGGAGAAGACAUUGUGUCUUCGAGUCGUUGAUUUCACACUGCCGAGAAAAGCCUCUAGAUAGAAAAUAGGUGCCCGUACCGCAAACCGACACAGGUAGUCAAGAUGAGAAUUCUAAGGUGAGCGAGCGAACUCUCGUUAAGGAACUCGGCAAAAUGACCCCGUAACUUCGGGAGAAGGGGUGCUCUUUAGGGUUAACGCCCAGAAGAGCCGCAGUGAAUAGGCCCAAGCGACUGUUUAUCAAAAACACAGGUCUCUGCUAAACCGUAAGGUGAUGUAUAGGGGCUGACGCCUGCCCGGUGCUGGAAGGUUAAGAGGAGUGGUUAGCUUCUGCGAAGCUACGAAUCGAAGCCCCAGUAAACGGCGGCCGUAACUAUAACGGUCCUAAGGUAGCGAAAUUCCUUGUCGGGUAAGUUCCGACCCGCACGAAAGGCGUAACGAUUUGGGCACUGUCUCAACGAGAGACUCGGUGAAAUCAUAGUACCUGUGAAGAUGCAGGUUACCCGCGACAGGACGGAAAGACCCCGUGGAGCUUUACUGUAGCCUGAUAUUGAAAUUCGGCACAGCUUGUACAGGAUAGGUAGGAGCCUUUGAAACGUGAGCGCUAGCUUACGUGGAGGCGCUGGUGGGAUACUACCCUAGCUGUGUUGGCUUUCUAACCCGCACCACUUAUCGUGGUGGGAGACAGUGUCAGGCGGGCAGUUUGACUGGGGCGGUCGCCUCCUAAAAGGUAACGGAGGCGCUCAAAGGUUCCCUCAGAAUGGUUGGAAAUCAUUCAUAGAGUGUAAAGGCAUAAGGGAGCUUGACUGCGAGACCUACAAGUCGAGCAGGGUCGAAAGACGGACUUAGUGAUCCGGUGGUUCCGCAUGGAAGGGCCAUCGCUCAACGGAUAAAAGCUACCCCGGGGAUAACAGGCUUAUCUCCCCCAAGAGUUCACAUCGACGGGGAGGUUUGGCACCUCGAUGUCGGCUCAUCGCAUCCUGGGGCUGUAGUCGGUCCCAAGGGUUGGGCUGUUCGCCCAUUAAAGCGGUACGCGAGCUGGGUUCAGAACGUCGUGAGACAGUUCGGUCCCUAUCCGUCGUGGGCGUAGGAAAUUUGAGAGGAGCUGUCCUUAGUACGAGAGGACCGGGAUGGACAUACCUCUGGUGUACCAGUUGUCGUGCCAACGGCAUAGCUGGGUAGCUAUGUGUGGACGGGAUAAGUGCUGAAAGCAUCUAAGCAUGAAGCCCCCCUCAAGAUGAGAUUUCCCAACUUCGGUUAUAAGAUCCCUCAAAGAUGAUGAGGUUAAUAGGUUCGAGGUGGAAGCAUGGU